rnacentral:rRNA from 1 species
GCAGGUUGAAGCGCGGGUAAGACCGCGUGGAGGACCGAACCCACCUGGGUUGAAAACCGGGGGGAUGACUUGGGGUUAGGGGUGAAAGGCCAAUCAAAUUCCGUGAUAGCUGGUUCUCUCCGAAAUGCAUUUGGGUGCAGCGUCGGGUCAUUACGUCCCGGGGGUAGAGCUACUGGAUGCUUGCGGGCCCGUAUCGGGUACCAACAGCAACCAAACUCCGAAUACCGGUGACGUGUAUCCCGGCAGUGAGUCGGCGGGGGAUAAGCUUCGUCGUCGAAAGGGAAACAGCCCAGACCGUCGUCUAAGGUCCCGAAGCGUGUGCUAAGUGGGAAAGGAUGUGGAGUCGCAUAGACAGCCAGGAGGUUGGCUCAGAAGCAGCCAUCCUUGAAAGAGUGCGUAACAGCUCACUGGUCUAGUGGUUCCGCGCCGACAAUGUAGCGGGGCUCAAGCACACCACCGAAGACGCGGCAGUAUCGUUUGGUACUGGGUAGGAGAGCGUCCCAUGAGGGGCGAAGCGGGCGUGGAAGCGUCCGUGGACUUCAUGGGAGUGAGAAUGCAGACAUGAGUAGCGAAAGACGGGUGAAGAUCCCGUCCGCUGGAUGACCAAGGGUUCCAGGGCCACGUUCAUCGUCCCUGGGUGAGUCGGGUCCUAAGGCGAGGCCGACAGGCGUAGUCGAAUGGAUGAACGGGUCGAUAUUCCCGUACCGGCUUUCAGCCGCCAAAACCGAGGCUUGGAGUACUAACCUCCGGGUCCGGGCUUACUUCCCCUUCGGGGGUGGGAUGCCCUGGCCUGUUGGGACCGAUCCUUGUAGUAGGUCAGCGCAGGAGUGACGCAGAAGGGUAGCCGGCCGCGGAGGUGGUCUUCCGUGGUCAAGCACGCAGGGCGUGGGACAGGCAAAUCCGUCCCGCAUGGGUCCGAGGUGCGAUGGUGGGGGCCUUAUGGCCCGAUAUCCGGUGAUCCCGGCUGCCGAGAAAAGCUUCGGCGUGAGGCUCGAAGCCGCCCGUACCCCAAACCGACACUGGUGGUCAGGUAGAGAAUACCAAAGCGAUCGAGCGAAUCCUGGUCAAGGAACUCGGCAAAUCACUCCCGUUCCUUCGGUUUAAGGGAGACCCCCGAUGGUGAUCCGCCUCGCGCGGGGAGCUUUUGGGGGUGGCACAGACCAGGGGGUAGCGACUGUUUACCAAAAACACAGGUGCAUGCGAAGGCGCAAGCCGCUGUAUAUGCACUGACGCCUGCCCGGUGCCGGAAGGUUAAGAGGAUCCGUCAAUCCCUUCGGGGACGAAGCGGUGAAUUCAAGCCCCGGUAAACGGCGGUGGUAACUAUAACCAUCCUAAGGUAGCGAAAUUCCUUGUCGGGUAAGUUCCGACCUGCACGAAUGGCGUAACGACUUCCCCACUGUCUCGACCAGGAGCUCGGCGAAAUUGCAGUACGAGUAAAGAUGCUCGUUAAGCGCAGAAGGACGAAAAGACCCCGGGACCUUUACUAUACCUUGGUAUUGGCGUUAGGCGCGGAUUGUGUAGCAUAGGCGGGAGGCUUCGAAGCGUGGGCGCCAGCUCAUGUGGAGCCGCAAGGUGAAAUACCGCUCUGUUCUCGUUUGACGUCUAACCUCGACAAGUCAUCCUUGUCAGGGACAGUGCCUGGCGGGUAGUUCAACUGGGGCGGUUGCCUCCCAAAGAGUAACGGAGGCGCUCAAAGGUCCGCUCAGCCCGGUUGGCAAUCGGGUGUCGAGUGUAAUCGCACAAGCGGGCUUGACUGCGAGAUCGACGGAUCGAGCAGGGACGAAAGUCGGAGAUAGUGAUCCGGUGCCGGCGCACGGGCGCGGCAUCGCUCAACGGAUAAAAGGUACCCCGGGGAUAACAGGCUGAUCAUUCCCAAGAGUCCAUAUCGACGGGAUGGUUUGGCACCUCGAUGUCGGCUCGUCGCAUCCUGGGGCUGGAGCAGGUCCCAAGGGUUCGGCUGUUCGCCGAUUAAAGCGGCACGCGAGCUGGGUUCAGAACGUCGUGAGACAGUUUGGUCUCUAUCCUCUGCGCUCGUUGGAAUGUUGAGGAGGCCUGCCCAUAGUACGAGAGGACCUGGGUGGACGAACCUCUGGUAUGCCGGUUGUCACGCCAGUGGCACGGCCGGUUGGCUACGUUCGGAAGGGAUAACCGCUGAAAGCAUCUAAGCGGGAAGCCUGCUCCAAGAUAAGCAUUCCGUGCAGCCUCGAGCUGCUGUAGUCCCCAUGCAGAACACGUGGUCGAUAGGCCGGACGUGGAAGCCCCGCGAGGGGUGGAGCCGACCGGUACUAACGGACGAAAGGCAACACUC